rnacentral:sRNA from 12 species
CAGCACUUGCUGAAAAUUAGUCGCCUUGGGUUGGGCUAGUAGGUUUAUCUCCGUGAGGAAUUUCUCGAAAGCUCGAUAGACAAAUAUAAG